GACGAACGCUGGCGGCGGGCUUAACACAUGCAAGUCGAACGGAAAGGCCCUGCUUUUGUGGGGUGCUCGAGUGGCGAACGUGUGUGUAACACGGGAGUAACCUGCCCUUGACUUUGUGAUAACUUCAGGAAACUGGUGCUAAUACCUGAGAGGUGCGCCUGCUGCAUGGUGGGGGUUGGAAAUUUUCGGCGGUUGGGGAUGUAUUGGGGGCUUAUCAGCUUGUUGGUGGGGUAGCGGCUUACCAAGGCAUUGACGGGUGGCCUGCAUGGGAAGGUGAACGGGCACAUUGGGACUGAGAUACGGACCAGACUCCUACGGGAGGCAGCAGUGGGGAAUAUUGUCCAAUGAGCGGAAGGGUGAUGAGGAAACGCCGGGAGCGGGAUGCCGGCCUACGGGUUGUAAACCGCAUUAGCCUGUGACGAAGCGUGAGUGACGGUAAUAGGUAAAGAAGCCCCGGCUAACUACGUG
rnacentral:rRNA from 1 species